rnacentral:tRNA from 1 species
AGAUUAUGAUGUAGUAGGUCUACACUUUGAUUGCAGAUCUUAAGUCUGAGGUUCAAUUCCUCCAUAAUCUU